CCUACGGGAGGCAGCAGUAGGGAAUCUUCCACAAUGGGCGAAAGCCUGAUGGAGCAACGCCGCGUGGGUGAAGAAGGUCUUCGGAUCGUAAAACCCUGUUGUUAGAGAAGAAAGUGCGUGAGAGUAACUGUUCACGUUUCGACGGUAUCUAACCAGAAAGCCACGGCUAACUACGUGCCAGCAGCCGCGGUAAUACGUAGGAGGCAAGCGUUAUCCGGAUUGAUUGGGCGUAAAGGGAACGCAGGAGGUCGUUUAAGUAUGAAGUGAAAGCAUG
rnacentral:rRNA from 1 species